ensembl:lncRNA
AUGUCAGGUGAAAAAAUCUCUCUUCUCUGGAAAUUCAUUUCCAUUUACUUAAAUGGUUUGACUUUGAAUUUUCAUUAUCUGCUGUUGGAAGGAGCCUGUGACAGGAGACCUGCAGAAUCUUUAAGGAAAAGGAUCUUUACCUCUGAGCCCAGUAACUCAAGCCUUCACCAGCUAUGGAAUUGCAUCUGUCUAGGAAAUAUUUGCAAACAAAAAGGUACUCCUCUGUACUUCAAUGCAGCAUUCUGUUCUUGGUACGCGGUUAAAACAGAUCACCAGUUCUGCUUUAUUUUUUUUUCCCCAAUAAACUAUGUUUAUUAUGCCAAUUCUAAUUACCAUGCAAUCUAAUGUUUUUAAGGCUUAUAUUUUCCACAUCACUGGACAUCACAAACAUGAAAGCAUUUUAUACUGUCAUUAUACAUCAAUGUUUGCACUUGGGUAUACAUAUAUACAGAAAUUAUUCACACAUCUUAACCUUGCUAUUUCCUCCUUUCAAAACAACAUAAUUUUACUGUGAAAGCAGCUUUUUAAUAAAUGGUAUAAGAAAUACAGCAAGGCACACAUUUUUAAAAACUUUUUUUCUCAUUACCACCUCAAGAAGCAUAAAAAAAAAAAAGUUGUACUUAAUUCAAUAGAAUGUCAACAGUUCCUAAUAUACAACACCAUGCAGUUGUUUCUUGAAGUGUUGCAUAGAUUAAAUUUUAAAAUUAAAUAAAUAAAAUGGUAUUUUGUUUGUUUAAUUUUUAGAUGUAUUGAUUAAGGAGAGCUAAUGACUUCUUUUUGCUGCAAUCCAACAAAAUUGUCACUUUAAACAUAAAAUAGUUUCAAUAAACUUAUGCAUUAUACACAUAAAUAUUAAAUUUGAUACAUAAAAUAGAGGAGUACUGGCAGGUACAAUUCUGAAAAGAUAAACCAGACCGAUCAUGAAAUCUGUGGAACUUCAAAACUGUAACGAACAGAACCCAGUGAUAAGUACAGGAGCAUCCAAUUUAGGAAGGGCAGAUCAUUAGAGGUAGCUUGGGAGAGGAAUCCGUGAGAAAGCAAAUGGCUUUGCUACCAUACCAGAUGAUCACUGAAAUAGAACUAGCAUAUGCAGCCUGAUCACAAAGCCAACAUGGACAAAUCACAUUUGGAAAGAAAAUUUAUCUUGGGAGUCAGUGUAAUGAAAGGCAGUGAUACAAUGGAAUUGGAGGUCAUCCCAGGGUUUACAGGAUGAACCUGCACCUGAAUUGCAGCCAAGUUUCUAAAAGGAAACAAAAAAGUAAUAGCAGGUUACAGAAAAUGCAGUUUUAUUUGCAAAACAUAGCUCUUCCAGAACAACCAUAGAUACUCAUUAAAUUAUCACAUGCCAGAGCCUUUAAUGCAGAAGCAUACAGUAGGCAAACAAUGAGUUUUAACAGCCUGAGGUACAAGGUAGUGUAAAAAUUGUUUUGAUGUAGAAAACUCAUUGAUUUUUGUAAAGACUUCGUUUCUAAAGAAACAAUGGAAGUCAUCAAAUCUGACGUUUUCCCUGGAUCCUGUCCUCAUCCUUACCUGCAAACUUACCUUUAGUGCACUCAAAGGUGCACCGAUCAAUGAAAACAUAGGGGUUUUUAAAAGGCAAACAACAAAAAGAUCUAUCCGUCACUUAGUUUAAUACUUAUGUAAACAUAUAAAAUGAGAUUUCAAGAGAGAAGGAACAGAUUGUCACAGAAGUAUUCAGUGAAUAGAACUGUCAGUGUCAUCACUGUCUUUUUAAAUUGUAAAUAGCUAUUUAGACAAUUCUAGUACCAGCAAUGAGUUAAAUUUUCAUACUAUAGAAUUAUCCAGCUUGGAGUUUAGGGUUAAACUAUUCAUCAAAGAGCACAGGCUUAUGAUGAGGAUUAUGAAGAAAUAACUGUCAGAAUACAGCUCAAAGAUUAGUGCAAAGUACAUCUUGUAGGCAUUUCCUAGGAGGCACUCCAGACAUGCAUUAUGUGCCUUCCAAAUUAAGCAGGAGUAUCUGGAUCUAUCCAGUUACCUUCUCCUUUGAUCUUAUUUGCUGUAACUAGCCCCCCCCUCCCUUCUCUCCCCCCCGCAGUUAUAGAAGAAAUAUACUUACAGGAAAAGAAUGAAAAGCUCAACAGUUUGUUUAGAAAUUAAGGAAGAACUGAUGUGAAUAAAGAGGAAGAUUAUCAAAAUGUUUCAAAAUGUUUCUAUAACUCUGGCAGGAGUUUUAUGUAUCUAUAGUAAGAAAAGUCUCACUGAUGGAUUAUGUCAGGUUUUUCAAAAAAUACGUAAUUCACAGAUAAUAAAAGAUUAUCUGUUUAUUUAAUUCUUUUAAAGAAGUCAGCUACGACAGUAAGGAGCUAAAAAGUCAGAGUAUUUUAAAUUCUAUAAAGAAACAUUGGUCUAUCCAUCUCCCUAUAAAAAUUGUAAGAAAAAAAAUAAGCAAAAAUUUAGAUUACUCUUGUAGUUCCUUUUUCUAAAAGUAAAUUAUUACAUACUAGUUAUUCUGUAAACCUCUAUAUUAUUUCUCUCCUGUAAUGUAUAAUUAACUAACAGUACUUUGCAUUUCUGUAUCAUAUUUUAUCUGUGGAUCUCAAAACACUUCUCAGUGAAUGAAUCGUGUUUCACAGGUCCCAUCAAUCAUUAUUCUCAUUAUUUUGCUGCUAACAAAACUGAGGAAGGGAAGGAAUAAGCCAUACAAAAACAUCCAUUGCUGAGCAGGAAAUAACAGCCAGGCUUCUGAGUAGCAGUCCUGGGCAUCAGCCAUAGAGCCAUCCCUCUCUCCUGGGCUUCUCUGGGUAUUUUAAGUGGUGGGACAUUCUGGCCAACAUAGCAGCACUGUCAGAUUUAUUUUUCUUAAGCCCAAACAAAAUAUUUUUUUUCCAAAUUAAGUUAAUACUUAAGUUGAAAUUACAGAUUCUGUACAAAAGGAAGGAAAUAGCUUUUGUGACUUACUUGUAAGCACUAACAGGUAACACACAGAAGUAUAUAUUUUCUAGAAAUGACUCCAGACACACCACAUAAAAAAAGAGAUCAAUGUAUUGAUCUCUACACAUAUUGAAUAUGUGACUAAGAAUUCCCAUCCCUUUGGUGAGUCAUGGGUCACAGUGACAGCAGAAGAUUGCAUGAGCUCAUAUACAGAAAGAUAGCUCCUUCAAGCUGUCCCCUACUUAAGAAACAAAAUCAGCAUAGUUUUAUGAGCACCUGUUAAAGAACUCUGUGUUGGCUUAUAUGAGAGAUGAGUCAGUGCUGACAGAUAUUUUUGAGCCUACUUAUAGAAUUGCUAUUAUUUUAACACAAUGGUCAUUUCUUGUAGCACGCUGAUAAAUAAUAGAAUUGCAACUUACAUACACUUGCAGAAAUAUUCUCCUCACCAUUUUAUUCUCCUGUACAUCCAAAGCACAUACUAAAAUAGUAUAAAACCAAACUACAUUUGAAACUAUGCUUUUUUUCAGCUUUGAAACCUUAGUAUGCUUUUAAGGUACACAUAUACUAUAGAUUAUUUUUCUCUAAGUAUUACAGCUACACAUGGAAUUACACAUUUAAAUGAGCUUACAGCACAGGUGCUACAGGAAAAAUAAUGGUGUUUGCCAUUUAUCUUUCAAAUUAAAUAAUGUGUUUUUAAAUAGUAACUUUUUUCAUAAUACACUUAUGGGAACAACAUUUAUCUGUCACAUUUUAAAAGAUGUAUUAGUAAUAAAUGUAAAUUACCUUUAGAAAAUCAGUAAUUAGCCUCAUCAAAAAAUAAACAAUCUGCCACCAAAAAGAUAAUCUUUAGCAUAGUUAAGUAUAAUAACUGUUAUUUGAAUAAGUUAACAAAUUAGGAUAGAUUGCUUCUGUAAUUCAUUCCCCAUAGCAUGAGAGAUG